rnacentral:rRNA from 1 species
UACGGGGGGGGCAAGCGUUGUUCGGAAUUACUGGGCGUAAAGGGCUCGUAGGCGGGCUGCCGCGUCCGGGGUGAAAUCCCACGGCUCAACCGUGGAACGGCCCCGGGUACGGGCGGCCUCGAGGGGGUAGGGCGUGCGGAACUGUGGGUGGAGCGGUGAAAUGCGUUGAGAUCCACAGGAACUCCGGUGGCGAAGGCGGCACGCUGGACCCCUUCUGACGCUGAGGCGCGAAAGCCAGGGGAGCGAACGGG